GAUGAACGCUGGCGGCGUGCCUAAUACAUGCAAGUCGAGCGAGAAGACGAGGAGCUUGCUCCCCUGCCGUUAGCGACUGACGGGUGAGUAACACGUGGAUAACCUUCUUCUAAUACUGGGAUAACUACGGGAAAACGGAGCUAAUAACAGCUCAUAUAUUGUACCGCAUGAAUCAAUAGUUAAAGACACUUUUGCUGUCUCAUUUAGAUGGUUCCGCGCCGCAUUGGCUAGUUGGUAAGGUAACGGCUUACCAAGGCAACGAUGCGUAGCUGACCUGAGAGGGUGAUCAGCCACACUGGAACUGAGACACGGUCCAGACUCCUACGGGAGGCAGCAGUAGGGAAUCUUCCGCAAUGGGCGAAAGCCUGACGGAGCAACGCCGCGUGAGUGAUGAAGGUCUUCGGAUCGUAAAACUCUUUUAUUAGGGAAGAAAAAAUGUGGAAUAAACUAUGCACGUCUUGACGGUACCUAAUCAGAAAGCCACGGCUAACUACGUG
rnacentral:rRNA from 1 species